CCAAAAAAUUUGGUUUAUUUCAAAGAAA
rnacentral:tRNA from 1 species